AGCUUAUCAGUGAUGUUGUAAAAAUAAAUGUCUGAACAUAUGAAUUACCAUAUUGAUUUCAGCAUUGGACUGAGAUAAGCU
ensembl:snoRNA SNORD72 small nucleolar RNA, C/D box 72